GGUAUUGAAAUAAGAUUUUAAAUGAGUGCUAAGAGAAUGAUUAAACAAUUAAAAGCUUUCUUUAAUUGAAUAAUUGAAUUUAAUUUUUUAGUGCAAAAGCAAAAAUAAAAAUUAGGGACAAGAAGACCCUAUGAAUUUUUUAUUAAAUUUUAUAAAACUUUAUAUAAAAUUUAAUUUAAUUGGGGUGAUGGAAAAAGAAUAAAUAUCUUUUUUUUUAAAAAAAAUUGGUUCCGUUUUUAUCGAUUAAAUGAAAAAAAUACUCUAGGGAUAACAGCGUAAUAAUUUUGGAUAGUUCAUAUAGAUAAAAUAGUUUGCGACCUCGAUGUUGGAUUAGGAUUCUUUUUUGGUGAAGAAGUUAAAAAAAGAAGUUUGUUCAACUUAUAAUUUCCUACUUGAUCUGAGUUCAGACCGGA
rnacentral:rRNA from 1 species